CUCGCUGUAGUUUAGGGAAAAUAUUGAAUUGCAAAUUCAAAGAAUGGGUUGUCCAUAGCGAAU
rnacentral:tRNA from 1 species